CAUUUAGUAUUUGAUAAGGAGACAUGAAAGUCGCAAAAUUACCGACGAUAUUAGUUAUCGUUCAAGUUUUGUUCAUCGUCUUUUUCGCAAUAUUUGCAGAUUAUGCACCGAGUGCUAAUGCCAAAUAUCCAGAAAAUUCAAAAGAUGCUGAUAAAGGAGGAGCUGAUCCUAGCAAGAAUAAAUUGCAUAGCCUUUACGAUAUGUUCCAGCACGUUCACGUAAUGAUUUUUAUCGGUUUCGGUUUUUUAAUGACUUUCUUAAGAAGAUAUGGUUUUAGUUCGGUUGGUUUUAAUAUGCUAAUUGCAGCAUUUGUAAUACAAUGGCACAUGAUAACUCACGGUUUAUUACAUAUGGCUACUGAACAUUCGUCAAGUUUUAAAAUAGACAUUGAAUCAUUAUUAACAGCUGAUUUUGCUGCUGCUGCCGUACUUAUUUCUUUUGGUGCUGUUUUGGGCAAAACUAGUCCUUUGCAGUUGAUCGUUAUGGCUUUUAUUGAAAUUAUAGUAUUCGUUUGUAAUGAAUAUAUAGGUUUAUACUUUUUCAAGGCCUCUGAUGUUGGAGGUUCAAUGUUUGUUCAUAUAUUUGGAGCAUAUUUUGGUAUUGCUGCAGCUAGAAUCUUGUAUAAUUCUAAAGUAGAAGACAGUAAGAAGGAGGGUUCCAAUUACCAUUCUGAUUUAUUUGCAAUGAUUGGUACAAUUUUCCUUUGGUUAUAUUGGCCAAGCUUUAAUAGUGCCCUAGCUCCUGGAGAUGACCAACAUCGUGCAGUUAUAAAUACGUACCUCGCACUUGCUUCUUGCGUUAUUGUUGCGUUUGCGAUUAGUUCAAAUUCAAAGGAAGCUAAAUUCGAUAUGGUUCAUGUUCAAAAUGCUACUCUAGCCGGUGGUGUUGCUGUUGGAACUAGUGCUAAUUUUAUGAUAGGACCUUGGGGAGCUCUCCUUAUAGGAUCUGUCGCCGGUGCUAUUUCCGUUGUUGGCUAUAAAUAUAUAACGCCUUAUUUGGCACGUAGGUGGAAAGCACAUGACACAUGUGGCGUUAACAAUCUUCAUGGAAUGCCUGGAAUAUUAGCUGGUUUAUUUGGAGCCAUUUUUGCCUCAUUUGCUUCAGUUGACAGAUACGGCAAUGGCCUGUACGAAAUUUUCCCUGCAAGAGCUCCAAUGGAAAAUUCAACAAAGCUUUUAGAAAUUCAGGCUAAUUUCACUAUUUCUGCCGGUGAUGAUAGAAGCGCUGUUCAACAAGGAGGAUAUCAAUUUUUAGCAAUGGCAGUUACAUUAAUUGUAGCUUUAGUUGCCGGUGCAAUAACAGGUUUUAUUAUGAAGAUGUCGCCACUUGAUCCAGUUAAAGAACGACACCUUUUCGAUGACGGUCACUAUUGGGAAACUCCUUCUGAUUUUGAUGAAGCAGUACAAUUCUGCAAUGGAACUGACAACUGUGAAACAGUGAAUUUAAAAUCAUUUGAUGAUGAAAAGAAUGCGGAGGACCCUGAUAAUUAGAGCGUUGUAUUCAGGAAGGAAGAAGAUAGGCCUAUCUUUAUUAGAAAAGUCUUGCAUGUAGUUUAUAAUAUUAUCUUUAACGUUCUGUUUUUUUAUAAGUAGAAUUUUUACAGAAUCUUGAAACAAUAAAGAGAACAUUUAUUUAGUUAGUUUUAAAUCAAUUUUUAGUUUAUGCUUUGAUAUAGAAAAUUAUUUUUGCUAUUCAAUUUUAACACAUUUCAACGCAAAGUGCUAUUCCCAUUCCACCACCUAUGCAUAAUGCACAGACACCUUUACGGAGGCCCCUAGAUUUAAGAGCGUAUAAUAAAGUUACCAAAACUCUAGAUCCAGAUGCUCCAAUAGGAUGUCCAAGAGCAAUAGCACCCCCAUUAACAUUAACUUUGUUGAUAUCAAUACCUAAUUCACGAAUAACACAAAUUGAUUGGGCAGCGAAAGCUUCGUUUAGUUCGUAUAAGUCAACUUCAUCUUUCGUCCAAUUUGCUUUUGCUAGAGCUUGGGUUACAGCUGAGAUAGGUCCAAUACCCAUUAUGGCAGGAUCAACACCAGUCUGACCCCAAGAAACAAUUUUUGCUAAACCCUUGAUAUUCCUCUUUCCUGCCUCUUCAGCGUUCAUUAGAAGAACAGCGGCUGAACCAUCAUUUAUUCCAGAAGAAUUUCCAGCAGUUACAGUUCCAGUUGGUUUAAAAGCUGGGCGUAGUUUUUCGAAUCCUUCUAUCGUGCAACCGGAUCUUGGGAAUUCAUCUUUGUCAACAACGAUUGUUUCUUUACGAGUUUUAAUAUGCACGGGAACUAUCUCUGCGUCAAAUGCUCCAGAUUUUUGAGCUGUUUCGCACUUUAAUUGAGAUUGAAGAGCAAAUUCGUCUUGUUCUUUUCUAGAGAUGGACCACCUUUCCGCGAUAUUUUCUGCUGUUAUGCCCAUAGGCAUUUUGCCGAAUGCAUCAACUAGACCGUCAUUUAGAGCAGAGUCCACCAUCUUCGUAUCUCCCAUUUUAUGAGGGCUUCUUAAGUGGAUAAGGUGAGGUGCUUGGCUCAUACUUUCUUGACCACCUGCUACAACAAUUGCAGAAUUGCCACACAUGAUACUUUGAGCACCGAGUGCUACAGCUUUCAAUCCUCCACCACAGACCAUGUUCACGCUCCAUGCCGGAACAGAGUGUGGUACACCAGCGUUAACAGAUGCCUGGCGGGCUGGAUUUUGACCUUCACCAGCAGUUAGUACAUGAGCCAUAAUAACUUCAUGAACAUCAGCUGGCACUAAUCCGCUCCUUUUAAUGCAUUCUAGAAUUGAUAUUGUUCCAAGUUGACUGCCAGUAAAGGAACUUAGAGAUCCGUUGAACGACCCUAUAGGUGUCCUUGCAGCAGAAACGAUCAGGACAGACAUAGUGUUCCAGUGAGACUGCGAAAAUGUGUUGAAAGUUAAUUGAUUGAUAGACAGAUCAGAUUUUAUUGGUAUUCAUAUUCAAGGGUUUCUCAUAUAUAAAGUAAGCUUUCACCGGCUUAUUGAAUUAUUAGAUAAAGAAUUGUCUAGGUAAUUUUUUAUUUUUAUAUCUAGAGAUAAAGUUUGUAUUCAUCAUUUUAAUCUAAACCUUAUCAGUUCAGAAAAACCCAAGAAGAUUCACUCUUGCCGCAUAUCAUCUGGCGCGAUUAGUGGAACAAAGCAUUCACCGGCCAUGUUCAAUAGAAAUAUUACACAAUAUUUCCAGUUAUUUUGUAACAUUUUACUUAUUUCAAUUCUAAGACCAAAUAGUAAAGCGUUAUUACCUUAAUUAAAACUUCUCGGGUAUUAAAAUUGUCUAAUACUUUAUUUUCGAUUUUGGUUGCCGACUUGAAUGCGCAUGCGUACGAUCACGCCAUCUUCCGUUUUAAAUAACCUGUUACACAUUAGGCCUAACACUCUAUUCUAUUAUAGAAAAAAAGAUGGGAUAAGAGGAGAUAUAAAAAGAUGAAAUCAAGAGAUUCAAUAAUUUAACAAAAACUGACUUAAAUGUUAAAAUAUUUUUAAUUUAAAAAAAA
rnacentral:misc_RNA from 1 species